UACGGGGGGGGCAAGCGUUGUUCGGAAUUACUGGGCGUAAAGGGCUCGUAGGCGGCCAACUAAGUCGGACGUGAAAUCCCUCGGCUUAACCGGGGAACUGCGUCCGAUACUGGUUGGCUUGAGUUUGGGAGAGGGAUGCGGAAUUCCAGGUGUAGCGGUGAAAUGCGUAGAUAUCUGGAGGAACACCGGUGGCGAAGGCGGCAUCCUGGACCAACACUGACGCUGAGGAGCGAAAGCCAGGGGAGCAAAC
rnacentral:rRNA from 1 species